CAGAUCCCCAGUCUGCUGCAAAUGUGCCACGUCAAGACUGGAAAUCACAGCACUUCAGUGUGUUUCAGUUUUGCACACUAGGGAAUAAGAAACGCUAAGGGACACUGUGAAAAAGGAGGACUGCAGAAUAAAGCGGGGAAGACAUUCUGGUAAGGCCUGCUUUGGAAGAACACCUGGCCUAUGACCUGGCGAACCUAGGUGACUCCCCUCCCCCCUUCCUCCAGUCAUCACUGCAAGAAAGAUGGAGCUCUGAUGGUGCACUAAAAGCCAUGCAAGAAAUGAGAGAGGUAUAUUGCCUAGAGGUACACUGCCUAGAGAAGUGUACAACAGUAAAGCUAAAGUCGGUCAUUUCUUUUUUACUAAUUUUUUUUUAAUUUAAAAUAAAGCUUUAUUCCCCAACAAACUAAAAAGGUAAAUUUAAUUUUUUUUUUUUUACUUGAAGCUUUCAGUAUAAAUAUUUAAGAAGUAUACAAUUUUUUUUCUUAGGCUUGCUAGAAGUAUGUAUUCUGAAUAGCUCCUGUUGCGAUCUAUGAUCUGAAGAUCAAUUUUUUAAAAAUUAUUUUUGCUUAAAGUAAUAAAAUACUAGAAAAGAAUGCAUGAAUAAUAUUUUAUAUUAUUGUAAAAUAUAUUAUAUCACCUCUGGGAAAACUAUACUUAGUUUUUUUAUAUGCAGUUGAAACUUCUUUGAAGUAACUUAUGCUAGAUGUGCUAAUGAAAAUUGGGAGGGAAACCAUAGAAAAACUGACUACUCCAUACUAGACUUCUGCCAUGUAGAAUACAAAAUCUUUGAUUGUCAGGAAAAAUUACCUUUUAAAGUUCAGGAUGCGAUGGAAAAUAAAUCAUUCAAUAAGUAAAAGGGAAGAAAGAGCUCUCCAACCCGAUACCUGGCUGGAUAUUGCAUGGGAAUGAUCAGGACCGAUCGAUUGCUGCCGCUCUCAUGUGCACUUUGAAUAGCUGAUAAUUCUUCUACCAUUCAAAAUGAUAAGUUACUUUGUCCUGAAUCCCACUGAUAAAAAUGGAAUUUGUAAACCAAUGCAGAAGUUUGCUUUGGUGAAUUUCCAGCUGUCCUGGUAGGGGAAAAAAACCCUCAGGCUGAAUGAAAUCCCCACGGACAAAAUAAUACAAAAAGUCUGGGCUGCAAUUUGAUACCAGCCAAACUCCAGAGUCAGCUCCCCUAAAGUUAACAGUAGUAACAAACUACUGCAACCGGAAAAAAUCCCACCUAUAUGGUGCUCAUUAUUGCCAGGAAGGCUUGGAAUAGCUGUACUGUAAAAAGAAUUAGCAUAAAUAUGCAGCCACUUGUAUUACAAACAGUCGAUUUUGCAGAAGGUGUGCUGUAUUUUAGACAGCCUUCAUGCUAGACUUUCUUUAUUUAAAAAAAUCUGUAUAUUAUGCUGACCUUUUCCACUGCUCCUUUGAUAAUCAAUAGAGGAGCUUUUGGGGAGAACUGGUCACGUAGUGUUGGUGUGAUGGUGCCUGGACUGGCAGCCUUAAAGCUUACAAAGGAAGGACUAGCAUUGUCAUUUCCUUCUGCCUCCCAGCAAAACUUUUCUUUUGACCAAAAAACUCUUUUUUUGAUGUAUAUUUACACUUGUAAGUUAUUCAGCUUCUCUUCCUUUUCUUUUGCAGAAGAUUAUUUUUAUGAUUAACUUAGUGGGGUUUAAUCCAUUAUCAUAUGAGUAGAUGGAAUUUUUGUUCUCAUUCUGCUUUAAAGGGGAGUUACAACACACAUACAAAUGUGGUUAUUAAGAGAAAAUCUGAAGUAACAGGAAGAAAUUAAAGGAAUGGAACUAGAGUCAAACUGGCAUUAAUAUUUCUCAAUCUUUACGUAUGAUUGCUGUCUUAGGCAUCACAAAUCUGAAAAGUUUUAUGACUUAGAUUUUGCUUAAGCGGUAAAAAAAUGUUUCCAAAUUUUGUUGAGAAACUCGCUCAGUUUUGCUUUCAAGGGGAAUAUGAUAAUUUGCAAAAUUUUUUUUCUCUCUAAUGCUUACUUGCAAAGCUAUUUUUUUUUUUUUUUUUUAAUUCUGAUCUAGAAAUUAAGGAAGGAAAUACUGUUAUCCAGGGAAUAAUAGGCUCUCCAUGAAAAUAGCGUUGCAGAUAGCCUGUGUUAACUUUUGCUAAAUAAGCAAGGACGAUGGAAACAUAUGGAACGAGUGUUUCUCUUAUCUCUAGUCCACUAUUUGCAUUAAUCUUUAUUUUAAAUGACCUUUCUGGGUUUAGGAAGUGAUUCCCCUCCCAUACACCCAUGACUCUUCAAAGUUACAUUUUUAGACUGUAAGGCUGAGAUCGAGGAGGCCCCCUUGGCAUGGGGCUUGGAAAGGAGGCGGGGGGGGAAAUGCAGAGUGCAAAGCAGCAGAUAUGGAAAGAAAGGCUGUAUUGUUAGCAAUGAAUAAGGAAGUAUAUUGACCUCGGCUCAGGAAUCAAAACAUUUUCAAAGUGAAUUAAAUGAUUCUGCGGUUCUUAAAACACUGCUGGUUUAGUUGAAACAAUUUCUAGUUGAUCAUAGUCACAGAGAAGAGAUUUCAAUAGUUAUAAAACAAGAUGCUUUAAACAGGCAUGUCAACAAACACAAGCAGGCUGCAUAUAAAUAUUUCAAGAGGAAAAAAAACCAAAAACUAAAAUACCAGCAAUUAUUACUUUUUGUAAUGAAUAAAAAAAGAAACUAGCAGGACCCAAUGCAUACUAAUCAUGGUGAGAGUUCUCUAAAGCCAGGACAAUACCAAUGCUUAAGCCUGUUGUAUGAACUGAUACAUAUUACCAUAAAAUGCAUAUUGAAGCCAGUAGGAACAUUUAAAAUAGGUGAGUGUUUCAAUACAAUAGACCUUCUUUCAUCUUUAGAGAGUGUAUUUUAUUUAAGUGCACUCAAAAAAAAAUUAAAUAGGGAAGAGGAAGAAAAUAUUUCAAACUUUUUCUAACUAUUCCUUUAAUGUUAAAAAAAAAAGGAAAAGAGAGAGAAGGGUGGGAGAAAGUCAGCUAACUUUACAGAAAUAAAUAUAGAUCAAAUAAGUAUUCAAAUGUGAAAAAAACUAGUUACUUUUAAAAAAACCUAUGUCAUUUGCCAUCUUUCUGCCUUGUCAUUAAGCUGCAUGUUGUCUCCUGUAUGAUCAUUGCCAGUCCUAUUUUGUGCAUCUGUAUUUUCAGAGCAUGAAGACACUGCCACCCGCCCCACGCUCCUUGCCCCCCUUCCUGUACUAUCACUGUGCCUCCAGACCACCCAAGUAUCAUUUCUAGAUGGAAAAUAUUAUAACCAAAAUAGCAAAAUACCUGCAUAAAAAAUCCAGGCUUCUACAUAGAACGUUCAUUAUAAUCUUUCAAUCAAAAUCUAUUAUGCAGAUUGGAAAAUUAAAAGCCCUAAACUUUAAUCUGUUGGGUCUUUUAAAUAAUACAUUUUAAUCAAGAGCAUAACUUUACUUUUACUUGUAAAAGGCUUUGCUUCCUGAACUGUACUUUAUUUAGGGGAAAAAAAUAAAAUCUUAAUUGAAAUACUAUUAAGGGUCAGGUUUAAUCCUACAAAAAGACAGGAAAUGCCAGAGUUAAGAAUGAAACUUUCCUGAAUUAUUCUGCUGUAGUUCUGUACUGCAUUUUACACAGCAUUGCAAAGCAGUAUCUAAAAAUAACAGCCUUCCCUUAAAUAAAGAGUCCAGAUCACUACUGAAGGGAAUACAUAUCUCAAUUCAGUUACCAAGGUACCAAUAUUUAAAGUCAGGUCCUUACCAUAAGUUUCUCUAAAUAUAAUAUUGGCAAUCAUGAGAAUUUUUUUUUUUUGUUAUGAGUAUUCUAAAAUAUUCUCAAAUCCUUUACUGACUCAUGAGAAUUUUUUUUUUGUUAUAAGUAUUCUAAAAUAUUCUAAAAUCCUUUACUGACUUAGUACGUCAACCAGACACAGCACACAAAAAUGUUAAGCCCUUUAAGCAAGUUAACUAAAAUUUCAAGGAAUUUCAGUUUUCAAAUAAAAAUCAAGUGGAGAUAUUCAUCUACUCAUGUCUAGCAGCACACAGUGAAUUAACUGAAGGGAAAACAAACUUGCCUCUGUCGAGAUGUAAAGCUUUGUGCUGAUUCUUUGAUGAAUUCUCCUUGUGUACAGUUAUUAGAAAGACAGCACAAAGUUUCCACUUACGGCUUUCCUCCCAGCACAACCUCCCUGACAGUUGUUAACUAAAAAUCCAUUUUAGAAAAUCCAUACUUCUGCUGUUCCAAUAUUCUGUACUAUAGGUUGCCAACGAUUUUGACUGCGCAAUUCUUUGUUAUUUCAAGAAGGAUCCAUAACACAGAAAGUCAGACCUAAUUUUCUUCCAGAUGAAAGAUUUUUCAUUUCUUUAGCAACUAAAUGCAGGAGUUAAAUCUGAUUAAAUCUACGAAACAGUCAGUGUAUUAUAUCUAUUUUAAAAAUACUUCUAAUUUUCCACUUCUGUUUUUCUUCAAAAUGGUGAAGCAGGCAGGAAGAAAUGGCAAGUUAAAGCAUACUCUUAAAAUUUUGCUUUUAGCUAUAAAAAAUUAAGUAAGCACUUUAUAAAGACAAAGUAUUUAAUGUAUUGAAAUUAAUUUUUCUUCAUCUCUGAAUUAGUUAGCCAUUUUUUGUGGUUGAUUCACUUAUUUAAGACAUCUUAUUACACCUUGUUAGGUUCAAGGAAAAUUCCAUUCAUAUAAUUGAUAAACUUAACUUGUAUAGUUAAUUUGUAUAUUAACUGAAAUGCAUAUUAUUAUUUAUGGCAAAAUUACUAGAGACAAAACACCUGAAUGAUUACAUAAUGACCUACUAUUAGUUUAAUAUAAAACCUCAGGGCUAUUCCCACCUUUAAUCUCUGGUAAUUUAUAAUCAGUUUUCAGGCUGGACUUAAAAUUGUAUUCUGAAUGGGGUAUGUUUGAGAAGGGUUUGAAAGCACAACUUUGUUGCUUACCUAUGGUGGCACUAGCGAGCAACAGAACUCAAGAACACCAUUACAAACCAGAAACAUUUAAUCUGUAGAGAAAAUUAGUACAAUUCUUCUUUUCCCCCUUUAAGGUUCCAAUGGCUUUUAUACCUUCUGAAACAAUACCCCAGAAAUGUUGCAAAUGUCAGUGCAAAGCUGGAUUACAGUCACUGUGUGUAGAUACAGUGUACAGAGAAAAUUCAGCAAAGCAGCACAUCUUGUGAUGUGAAAUGGUACUGUUUGUGUGCUUUUGAUCUCUAGUAUAGUCUGUAUUUGACUGAAAAAAACUUACUGAAGUUUUUUGAGGUUAAUUUAUUUUGUUGGAAAGUACAGAUUUUGAGAAAAGCAAAAUUUAAAUAACAUGCAAACCAAAAUACUAAAAGGAAUAUAAUACAUGUACAGCUAUCACAGAUAUUAGCAAAAUCUAUCCAAAAUGCAAUCAGCUUUCUUUCCAGCACAUUCCGUAUAAUGGAGUUAAUGUGCAAGUUGCAGCCUCCAUUUAUACAGAAGGAUUUUUAUUUUUAACAUCCCAGAUUAUUGUACUUAUCUGCUCCUAGAAAAUAUGCACUGUAUAAACAUAUCCUUUAUCUUGAACUUCAGUAUUUCUGUGCUUCCAUGAAGAGUAAAAACAUCUGGUUAAAUUACUAUGUGUGAGCACAAUGUGCAGGCAAAACCCUGUACGGAUUGCAUAUAAAAUAAACCAUGGCUUCGGUUCUUUUUGCUUUUCCAAAUGUUCAGCGUGAGCAGUCUGUUGAAAUCACAUCCCUGAUAUGUGUCAGCACAAUUAUAACUCAUGUACCAAGCCUCUUUUCUGAAUAAAAUCAAGUUCUGUUCUUGUUCUGCAGCUGCCAAUGUUUUAAAGUUUAAUUCUGUUAUGUGUGUUCCCCCAACAAACGCCCCCCAAAGUGGACUGGCACAAAGUGUUGCACAGCAGCGGCGAUGGCUCCAAGGGACUGGCUGGACGGAGUUGUCAUGUGUCUGCCUGUCUACACUUGCUGUGCAGAACAUCCUCUCACCUGUACAGCAGGCACAGACAGGCAGUCGCAUGACAACCCAGCCUGAGGGACAGCCGCCAGUGGGACCCCGCUCUGACAGCCCAGAGCAUCUGCAGCACCAGCUCCAGCCAAGAGUCCUCUGGACCUCAGACGGCCGGUCAGUCACCAAGCCCAGAGUCAAAGCAGCACUGCCUGUCAAGUACAAUAAAACCCACUGCUGAAAUGCUUA